CAGGGAGACAACAAAAUGUAAAUAUUAAUUUUGUCACCUUAGGUCGAUCGGUAUCUCAGGUUCUUGAUUUUAAGAAUUUCAGUUUCUAAGUUUUUUCUAGGUCACACCCAUUACUUUUUCCUGGGCCAUUAGCUCAGGUGGUUAGAGCGCACCCCUGAUAAGGGUGAGGUCCCUGGUUCAAGUCCAGGAUGGCCCAUAUCUCUAUGUUGGGGGUAUAGCUCAGUUGGUAGAGCGCCUGCUUUGCAAGCAGGAUGUCAGCGGUUCGAGUCCGCUUACCUCCACUGAAUACCGCCUUUUAACAUAUUGCUAAAGAGGAAAUUGUUUUGAAAUGUGUUUUACUUACUCUGAGCGAAUCUAGCUUCCUAUUUUCAUUUAAUAAAUAAGAUGCUGGACUCAUUGAAUUUUUAAUUCAUUGUUUUCAGAGAACCUUGACAACUGCAUAGAUUAUUUUUGAAGACAAUAAGCAUCUUUUAAGAUGCAGAUUUAUUAUUUGUGCUAAUGCAUUAAAUAACAAUUCUAUUAAGCUGAUGCUUCAAUUAUUGAAGUUAUU
rnacentral:tRNA from 1 species